UACAGAGGGGGCAAGCGUUGUUCGGAAUUACUGGGCGUAAAGGGCGCGUAGGCGGCCUGCUAAGUCGAACGUGAAAUCCCCGGGCUCAACCCGGGCACUGCGUCCGAGACUGGCGGGCUCGAAUUCGGGAGAGGGAUGUGGAAUUCCAGGUGUAGCGGUGAAAUGCGUAGAUAUCUGGAGGAACACCGGUGGCGAAGGCGGCAUCCUGGACCGAGAUUGACGCUGAUGCGCGAAAGCCAGGGGAGCAAACGGG
rnacentral:rRNA from 1 species